rnacentral:rRNA from 1 species
UACCCUGCUUCCAGGAAAAGCCACUAAGCUUCAGUCUAGAAUUGACCGUACCGCAAACCGACACAGGUGGGCAGGUAGAAGAUACUAAGGCGCUUGAGAGAACUCAGGAGAAGGAACUCGGCAAAUUGAUACCGUAACUUCGGGAGCAGGUAUGCCCUGGUAGCUUGUAGGAGAACAUCCGAAGGGCGACGGGGCCGCAGAGAAUCGGUGGCUGCGACUGUUUAUUAAAAACACAGCACUCUGCAAACACGAAAGUGGACGUAUAGGGUGUGACGUCUGCCCGGUGCCGGAAGGUUAAGUGAUGGGGUGCAAGCUCUUGAUCGAAGCCCCGGUAAACGGCGGCCGUAACGAUAACGGUCCUAAGGUAGCGAAAUUCCUUGUCGGGUAAGUUCCGACCUGCACGAAUGGCGUAACGAUGGCCACACUGUCUCCUCCUGAGACUCAGCGAAGUUGAAGUGUUUGUGAAGAUGCAAUCUCCCCGCGGCUAGACGGAAAGACCCCAUGAACCUUUACUGUAGCUUUGCAUUGGACUUUGACGGGACUUGUGUAGGAUAGGUGGGAGGCGCUGAGACCAGGACGCUAGUUCUGGUGGAGCCGUCCUUGAAAUACCACCCUGGUGUCGUUGAGGUUCUAACCUAGGUCCAUCAUCUGGAUCGGGGACCGUGCAUGGUAGGCAGUUUGACUGGGGCGGUCUCCUCCCAAAAGGUAACGGAGGAGUACGAAGGUCUUCUAGGUACGGUCGGACAUCGUACUGAUAGUGCAAUGGCAAAAGAAGGCUUGACUGCGAGACCGACAAGUCGAGCAGGUGCGAAAGCAGGUCAUAGUGAUCCGGUGGUUCUGUAUGGAAGGGCCAUCGCUCAACGGAUAAAAGGUACUCUGGGGAUAACAGGCUGAUUCCGCCCAAGAGUUCACAUCGACGGCGGAGUUUGGCACCUCGAUGUCGGCUCAUCACAUCCUGGGGCUGUAGCCGGUCCCAAGGGUAUGGCUGUUCGCCAUUUAAAGUGGUACGUGAGCUGGGUUUAAAACGUCGUGAGACAGUUUGGUCCCUAUCUGCCGUGGGCGCUGGAUAUUUGAGGGGGCCUGCUCCUAGUACGAGAGGACCGGAGUGGACGGAUCUCUGGUGUACCGGUUGUGACGCCAGUCGCAUCGCCGGGUAGCUAAAUCCGGAAGAGAUAACCGCUGGAAGCAUCUAAGCGGGAAACUCGCCUCGAGAUGAGAUAUCCCUGGGAACUUGAUUCCCCUGAAGGGUCGUCGAAGACCACGACGUUGAUAGGUCGGGUGUGGAAGCG